AAGGUGGAAUCAAUAACUGGGGUGAAGUCGUAACAAGGUAGCCGUAUCGGAAGGUGCGGCUGGAUCACCUCCUUUCUAAGGAGA
rnacentral:rRNA from 1 species